AUCCCUGCUCUGCAGUUUACAGGUUGAGUGACAUAGGGAAAGCUACGUAAUCUCUUGGAACCUCAGUUUGCUCAUCUGUAAGAUGGAGCCAACAACAGUCUCAAUCCCAUAGGUUGUGGGAGAGUUAGAUGACACAGUACAUAAGUGCAUGGCUAGAACAGGGGCUUCAGGGACUAUGGAUGACUCCACUGAGAAUAAGGAUAAGAUGCUGGGCUCCAGAGGAGGCAAAUGGUAAAUGAGUGGUGGCUGCUGUCUGAGGGACAGAGGGUUACCCAUAUGGUAUUCCUAGAAUUCCACUAGAAGCAACCCUGGAGCCCACUUCUGAAAAUGGGCAGGAGUUACUCGGAAGGGGCUGUCCCACUCCAUUCAGGAUGCUACACAUCUGGGCCAUGACCAUAUCUCUACUUCAAGCCCUGCGUUCUGACAACUGCAUCAUCUUUUGUGAAAUAGCCAUGACAGGAUUUGCUAAUUUUCCUUUUCAAAAUGUUCUUCUUUAGGAAAAAAAAGUAACUUUAGGGUAAUCACCUCAAUGAGCGUAUGAAAAAAAGUUUAAUGGCCAAUGAACCUAAAAAUCUUGGCCCAUUCCCCAGGUCACACAAACCUUUACUCCAUGAAAUUUACUCAGUGGGUCAGAAACCAGAAGGCCAUGACAAGGAGAUCUCUGUAUUGCUUAACCUACUUGCUGUUGAAAAUAGACACUUAUGUUUCUGUGGCUCUCUUAAUAAUGAUAAUGGUAAUGAUGAUAAUAAUAAUAAUAAAUAAUGUUAAAGAAUAAAU
rnacentral:lncRNA from 10 species